rnacentral:SRP_RNA from 1 species
GCUGGGCAUGGUGGCACGUGCCUUUAGUCCCAGCUACUUGGGAGGCUGAGGCUGGAGGAUCGCUUGAGUCUAGGAGUUCUGGGCUGUAGUGCGCUAUGCUGAUCUGGUGUCCGCACUAAGUUCCGCAUCAAUUUGGUGACCACCCGGGAGAGGGGGACCACCAGGUUGCCUAAGGAGGGGUGAACCGACCCAGGCUGGAAACAGAGCAGGUCAAAACUCCCGUGCUGAUCAGUAAUGGGAUCGUGCCUGUGAAUAGCCACUGCACUCCUGCCUGGGCAACAUAGCAAGACCCCAUCUCA